AGUCGAGCGGCAAGUUGGGUAGUAAUACUUGACCUAGAGCGGCGCACGGGUGCGUAACGCGUAUGCAACCUACCUUUUACUGGGGGAUAGCCCGGAGAAAUCUGGAUUAAUACCCCAUGGUAUCUAUUGACCGAAUGGUUUGUAGCUUAAAGAUUUAUCGGUAAAAGAUGGGCAUGCGUCUGAUUAGCUAGUUGGCGGGGUAACGGCCCACCAAGGCGACGAUCAGUGGGGGUUCUGAGAGGAAGGUCCCCCACACUGGCACUGAGAUACGGGCCAGACUCCUACGGGAGGCAGCAGUAGGGAAUAUUGGGCAAUGGUCGCAAGACUGACCCAGCCAUGCCGCGUGCAGGAAGACGGCCCUCUGGGUUGUAAACUGCUUUUAUCUGGGAAGAAAAAGUCCAUGCGUGGAAAAUUGCCGGUACCAGAUGAAUAAGCACCGGCUAACUCCGUGCCAGCAGCCGCGGUAAUACGGAGGGUGCAAGCGUUGUCCGGAUUUAUUGGGUUUAAAGGGUGCGUAGGCGGCUGAAUAAGUCAGCGGUGAAAGACUUCGGCUUAACCGGAGCAGUGCCGUUGAUACUGUUUGGCUUGAGUGUUGGAGGGGUACAUGGAAUUGAUGGUGUAGCGGUGAAAUGCAUAGAUACCAUCAGGAACACCGAUAGCGAAGGCAUUGUACUGGCCAACAACUGACGCUGAGGCACGAAAGUGUGGGGAUCGAACAGGAUUANAUACCCUGGUANUNCACACUGUAAACGAUGAUUACUCGCUGUUAUGGUGUAUGCUGUANCGGCCAAGCGAAAGCGUUAAGUAAUCCACCUGGGGNAGUACGCCNGCANCGGUGAAACUCNAAGGAAUUGACGGGGGUCCGCACNAGCNGUGGNNCAUGUGGUUUAAUUCNAUGAUACGCGAGGAANCUUACCUGGGC
rnacentral:rRNA from 1 species